CAGUCGCCACGGUAAUACGUAGGGUGCGAGCGUUAAUCGGAAUUACUGGGCGUAAAGCGCACGUAGGCGGCUUUGUAAGUUAGAGGUGAAAGCCCGGGGCUCAACUCCGGAACUGCCUUUAAGACUGCAUCGCUUGAAUCAUGGAGAGGCGGGUGGAAUUCCGAGUGUAGAGGUGAAAUUCGUAGAUAUUCGGAAGAACACCAGUGGCGAGGGCGGCUUACUGGCUCAUUCUAGACGCUGAGGUGCGAAAGCGUGGGGAGCAAACAGGAUUAGAUACCCCUGUAGUCCCUGUCUCUUAUAC
rnacentral:rRNA from 1 species